rnacentral:rRNA from 1 species
UACAGAGGUCUCAAGCGUUGUUCGGAUUCAUUGGGCGUAAAGGGUGCGUAGGUGGCGCGCUAAGUCAGGUGUGAAAUUUCGGAGCUUAACUCCGAAACUGCAUUCGAUACUGCGGCGCUUGAGGACUGGAGAGGAGACUGGAAUUCAUGGUGUAGCAGUGAAAUGCGUAGAGAUCAUGAGGAAGACCAGUGGCGAAGGCGGGUCUCUGGACAGUUCCUGACACUGAGGCACGAAGGCCAGGGGAGCAAACGGG